rnacentral:rRNA from 1 species
CCUACGGGGGGCUGCAGUGGGGAAUAUUGGACAAUGGGGGCAACCCUGAUCCAGCCAUGCCGCGUGUGUGAAGAAGGCCCUCGGGUUGUAAAGCACUUUCAGUGAGGAAGAACGCCUGGUGGUUAAUACCCAUCAGGAAAGACAUCACUCACAGAAGAAGCACCGGCUAACUCCGUGCCAGCAGCCGCGGUAAUACGGAGGGUGCGAGCGUUAAUCGGAAUUACUGGGCGUAAAGCGCGCGUAGGUGGCUUGAUAAGCCGGUUGUGAAAGCCCCGGGCUCAACCUGGGAACGGCAUCCGGAACUGUCAAGCUAGAGUGCAGGAGAGGAAGGUAGAAUUCCCGGUGUAGUGGUGAAAUGCGUAGAGAUCGGGAGGAAUACCAGUGGCGAAGGCGGCCUUCUGGACUGACACUGACACUGAGGUGCGAAAGCGUGGGUAGCAAACAGGAUUAGAUACCCGGGUAGUC